rnacentral:rRNA from 1 species
AACGAACGCUGGCGGCAUGCCUAACACAUGCAAGUCGAACGAGAUCUUCGGGUCUAGUGGCGCACGGGUGCGUAACGCGUGGGAAUCUGCCCUUUGGUUCGGAAUAACAGUUGGAAACGACUGCUAAUACCGGAUGAUGACGAAAGUCCAAAGACUUAUCGCCAGAGGAUGAGCCCGCGUAGGAUUAGCUAGUUGGUGUGGUAAAGGCGCACCAAAGCGACGAUCCUUAGCUGGUCUGAGAGGAUGAUCAGCCACACUGGGACUGAGACACGGCCCAGACUCCUACGGGAGGCAGCAGUGGGGAAUAUUGGACAAUGGGCGAAAGCCUGAUCCAGCAAUGCCGCGUGAGUGAUGAAGGCCUUAGGGUUGUAAAGCUCUUUUACCCGGGAUGAUAAUGACAGUACCGGGAGAAUAAGCUCCGGCUAACUCCGUGCCAGCCGCCGCAGUAA